GACAGCCCCAGAUCCCGGUCUGUGGGACAGGUGGCGAAGGUUCUGUAGCAGCUUUCUGAAUAAAGAUACUCAGAGAUUUGGCAGAGCCUGGGGUUACCCCAGAGUCUUCUCGUUGGUUAACUACUACAUGCUCUGGUGAGGCUGGACUGGAGGUUUAGGGGCGUGGUGCGAAAGGUACGUUUUGUCAAAGGAGACCUGCCAGACCCAGCAGCAAGCUUUGUGCAAAAAAGUCCCAGAGUCGCCAGAGCCUAAGGGACAACACAAGGGAGAAAAGAGUUAAGCGCAAUCCCGAACACUUUCUGAAGAGACAACGCGAAAGUAGAACCUAAUUUGAAGAGCGGCCGCCUACCCCGCCCCGCCUAAAACGUAAUUUCCGGGGCGGAACGGGCGGAGGGUCCCGGAUGUGGUGCCGCUACUCCGCCCAACCUCCCCCUUUUCCCUCUUUUCAAAAAUCUCCGUUUCUAAGGUGCAGGCGGCGUUCCUAGUUGUAUCCGCCUGCUAGUGCCUAGCAUGCCUAGGCUUUUCAGGCUCCGGAACCCGCGCUACAUUGGAGGGCCCGAGCCGCUUUCGCCCUUUUGGUUUCCGCGCCCGGUCCGGCUCCCGCCUUCUGAGGCCUCGACUCGGAGGAGUGCGGACCGCCAGGCGUGAGCGAGCGGCCGUGGCCGCCAUCUUAGAGCAUGCGGGCCCGGGGGCUUGUGGGCGGCGCGGGUCUCCCGCAGUCCCGCCGCGGCUUGGCGCGCGCAGUUGGGAAAGUCGGAGCUCGGCUGUCCCUCCACAGCGGAGAGGCGAGGUCACUAUUCCCAGCUUCCCUGCGGGGCGGGGAGUUAAGUAAGCUGCAAGAAACUGCCCUCCUCGGAAGAGGUGAUAGGCACAGCAGCCCCCCUCCGCGAAAGGCGCUGAGGGGUGGGUUGCUUACACUUCCCUGAGGUAGCACCCAGUGUUAUCUAUUGUUAUUUCCUCCUGUUGAUAUCUACAAGAACUAAUAAAUAAACAUCAGUGUUUGUUGAAGGAAGAACUGCAUGUGAAAGGUAAAAUACUGAUGGGCUUACUUCCGAAAACUUGUAUGUAUGAGAGUUUUGAAAUUAAUGUAUUAGUCUGUGGCCCCUUACCAUUAAAUUUGUAGUGAAUCCUUUUAUAAAGCAGAAAUCACAUCUGUUUAAAAACUUUCCACUUGAUUAUAUUAUUGGUUUUCUUCAAUUGAGGGACAUCUAGAGUCUUAAUUCUCAUGUGAAAUAAAUGAUUUUAUUUCAACCAA